GCUCUGGCCCGCAGUCGAGGUUCACGCCGAACAGCCUGAGCUGGCGUGUCGGUGCCGAGGCUGGGCUGCAGCUCCUUGUGUCCGCGUCCCACUGGGAUUCUCCUGCGAUUGUUCAUUCACCAGAAAUGGCGUUAGAGCGUUCAUGGUGAUGGUGCUUCAAGUUCCCAAACGCCAGGAUGAGAACUGGACCUGCACAGAGAUCGUGCACCCUUCUCCAGUUUCCAACGGAUUGUGAAUCAGAAUCACAAGUUGGGUGUGGAGUAAUGGACUAGUUUAACAUAGUCAGUUAAAUUUCGUCCUGUCGACUGCAUGUCUAGACUUGGCCAAGAAUCAAGAACGAACUGCAAUCAUAUAUACGUUUGGUUUCUCCAUGCACAUGAAUGAGUUGGUAUCCCAUGGAAUUGAAUACAAGAUAACUCAAGAUAAGGGGACACAUGCUAAUGCUCCUAGUUUAGUUAUCCCUGUGGUCUCAGCUCCUUUCCAAGAGGCGAUGCAUGUUUUGCCAAGUUCAUGCAGAUGUGGGACUUGGAGCCUUGAGUGCAGCAUGUUACUCCCCCCCUAUUCACAAAUAUAUACAUGCCACCAUGGGAAGUGUGCAAUUAAGCAUUACCAAUCUUGGACCUUUUAAUAUUGCAAAACCAAAGGUAUCUAGAUGCCUUCAUUUGAAAUCAUAAUUGCCCAUUAUGGGGUUAAUGAUCGGUUGGAAAAUAUAUUUCACAAAAAGA